AAAGUGACAAUUACCUCCUACUGGUCUUACACAUGCACUGCAGGAAAGUCUUCCAGAACACAUUAAACAAAACAGUGCAAUAUAACAAAUACAUCAAUUAAAACUGACAACAUAGCAUCUGGCUGAAAAAGCUCCAUAAAGCCAAACUCUAAACAGUUGAGCUUGUCGCCAGAAACCAAGAACCAAUCAGAUUCUUGCAGUACCUUCUGUUGUCCGUCAGCAAAUUCAACAAGGUACUAGGAAUAAAGUCGGAAGAAAUGAACAGGACAGAUAAGUAUCUGAGCAUACCUUAGGCGAUACAAAACAGUGGAGACUGAGAAAUUUCAUAUUAUUUACAAUAUAUUUCACAAAUAUAUAAUGUAUAGAGAAAUAUCAUGGGAAACACAAGCAGGAAAGUAUUAAACACAAAGUGAAGGAAGGACGGAAACCUUGAGCUACAUAAGCAUUAAUAUAUCCUGCUGCUUGCUCUCUCCCUGUGAACUUCAGUCUGCCAGAUUUCCAUCUCCUUUCAGGAUCAGGUUCCCAUCUUCCUGAAGCACCUACAAGCAAUCUAUCCAUCCCCUCCCCUAUUUCGGGGGGCUGGGAGAAGGAAAUAUAGACUAAUUUAGAGGGCACCAGGGAGCCAGCAAGGGCAGAAGAAAGAGUUCCUACCGCUGCCUGAGCUCUUUUGCCUGCCAGGUUUCCAUUCUCUUUCAGGACCAAGCUCCACUAACUGGUUAAUGAGUCAGCUGUAGGUAAUCCAACCAGUUCAACCUGUUGCUCUCCCCAGACGUUUUGGGCAGCUCGUAGAAGGGAAUAUGUGCUGACUGGCUCAGGACAUUCCAGGACUGAUUUAUUCAUUAGCAGUCACUUCUCUCUUGUUCUGGUUGACAAGACAAAAUGUUCUCAGUAAACAUGCUGUGUUAAGUUUGACCACUGUGACCUGAUGCUGCAUGGGAAGCACAUAAGAUUAUCUUCAUUCCGAAGCUCAGUUAUCAGCAUGCAACUGGAAGCACUGGCUUCCAACAAAGCACCUAGAAAAGAGAACAGAUGGAGAGGGAACAACUUUCAUUGAUUGCAAGGAAAUACUUCACUUCGAUGAGAACAUCUCAAAGAAACAUAAAUGGAGAAGAACUGUCACCAAUAUUCUUCAGUGGAAAUGCUGUCAAGUCAAAUAGCAUAAAUUAAAUGAGUAAGGUGGAACUCUGAUUUGUUGGAGAACUCUGUUUAGAGCUGUAGGAUGAGUAGAGACACCAUCAAUUUCACCACAGGUGCUUUGGUUUUCCAUUUCCACUUCCGGCUCCAUAUCAACCUGAACUUGUUGAACAUCAUGGGGAGACACAGAAGAUCUCCUACGUUGAUGCUGGAAGAGAUGCUUCAAGCCUUGACCAAUCACAUUGAUGUUCUCCAAGGCAUUGUGGGUAAUUUUUGAUAACUUUUGCUCUGACUCAUGCUGCCUUUUGGUCUCUGGAUCUUGAGAUUUGCCUCCAAUGUCAGUGUCAUCAUAGAAUUGUUCACCACCAGAAGGCUCCAUCAGAUGACAGCCAACAAGUUUGUUUGUCAAGUCAAACACAGAUGUACCGUGUCUUUAAUUUUUGUUUUUGCUUAAAAAAUGCCAAGAUUGUCAGCCAA